rnacentral:rRNA from 1 species
GAUCCCAUCAGAACUCCGAAGUUAAGCCACCUUGGGUGAGAGUAGUAGUAGAAUGGGUGACCUCCUGGGGAGUUCUCAUGUUGCACCCC